GUAGUAUAUAAAUAUUAACCGUAGACAGCAGGAGCGUACAGCUUAAAAUACUAUCCUGCCGAGGUGCGUGAUAUACCCCCUCGUCUACACAUUACAAAUAGACAGGGGUUUUUCGUACCGAAU
rfam:Eubacterium saphenum ATCC 49989 genomic scaffold Scfld0, whole genome shotgun sequence.